rnacentral:ncRNA from 1 species
CAUAGGUUUGGUCCCAGCCUUCCUGUUAACUUUUAAUAAAUUUACACAUGCAAGCAUCUGCAUCCCGGUGAGAAUGCCCUCUAAGUUUAUAAAACCAAGAGGAGCUGGUAUCAAGCUCACAUCUGUAGCUAACGACACCUUGCUUAACCACACCCCCACGGGAGACAGCAGUGAUAAAAAUUAAGCUAUAAACGAAAGUUUGACUAAGUUAUAUUAAUUAGGGUUGGUAAAUCUCGUGCCAGCCACCGCGGUCAUACGAUUAACCCAAGCUAACAGGAAUACGGCGUAAAAUGUGUUUAAGCACUUACCCCAAAUAGAGUUAAAUUCUAGCUAAGCUGUAAAAAGCCAUAGCUACUAUAAAAAUAAACGACGAAAGUAACUCUACAACAGCUGACACACUAUAGCUAAGACCCAAACUGGGAUUAGAUACCCCACUAUGCUUAGCCCUAAACACAGAUAAUUAUACAAACAAGAUUAUUCGCCAGAGUACUACCGGCAACAGCUUAAAACUCAAAGGACUUGGCGGUGCUUUAUAUCCCUCUAGAGGAGCCUGUUCUAUAAUCGAUAAACCCCGAUAAACCUCACCAAUUCUUGCUAAUUCAGUCUAUAUACCGCCAUCUUCAGCAAACCCUAAAAAGGAAUAAAAGUAAGCACAAUAAUAACACAUAAAAACGUUAGGUCAAGGUGUAACCUAUGAAAUGGAAAGAAAUGGGCUACAUUUUCUAUAUUAAGAAAAUCUUACACGAAAGUUAUUAUGAAACUAACAACCAAAGGAGGAUUUAGCAGUAAACUAGGAAUAGAGUGCUUAGUUGAACUAGGCCAUGAAGCACGCACACACCGCCCGUCACCCUCCUCAAAUAAACAUGAUGCACUUAAACUUAUUCUAAAGCACUAAUCAUAUAAGAGGAGACAAGUCGUAACAAGGUAAGCAUACUGGAAAGUGUGCUUGGAUAAAU